rnacentral:lncRNA from 1 species
UUCAAAGCUGUCAAAACUGACAAAAAAGGUAACCGAAAAUCGUCAUUUUUAUCAAAACCAUUCUCGUUAGGGGUGUUUCUUUGUUCAACAGGUUUUAUAUUUUAUUUCUAUUCCUAUAUUGUCCACCACAUUUAAACAAGGGAAAAUGGCAGACGAAAACAGAAUUAGAUCUUUCAAGAACAAAGGCAAGGAUACAGAGG